GUGCCAGCCGCCGCGGUAAUACGAAGGGGGCUAGCGUUGUUCGGAAUUACUGGGCGUAAAGGGCGCGUAGGCGGCGCAGUCAGUCAGGAGUGAAAGCCCCGGGCUCAACCUGGGAAUUGCUCUUGAUACUGCUGUGCUUGAGUUCCGGAGAGGAUGGUGGAAUUCCCAGUGUAGAGGUGAAAUUCGUAGAUAUUGGGAAGAACACCGGUGGCGAAGGCGGCCAUCUGGACGGACACUGACGCUGAGGCGCGAAAGCGUGGGGAGCAAACAGGAUUAGAUACCCGCGUAGUCC
rnacentral:rRNA from 1 species